AUCUGCCUAUGCUUAAUUUAUUCAUGGGCAUCAUUUUAAUGCAACAUCAUACAUAUUCAUGCCAUUAUUGAUGGCUGUGCUAGAAAAUGCUUGCACCAUUUCAGAGAAUUGUAAGCACAGCUCCCACUGCUCCCAAGAAAGUCUUCCGGGCCUUCCUGGGGCUUUCCUGACACUACAGACAAUAUUAAUAUUAACAAUAUUAUUAACCAUUCACAUGGGCAGAGAUGCUUGCUAAAGCCACAGUGGCUUAGCAUUAACAUGCAUUUGCUGCAAGCUCAGGGAUGAAAUAGGAUGCUUCACGAAGUUGACAGGGAGAUCUGUUUUGAAGUCAGUCCCUCUAAGUCUCAUAUGUAGCCACUUGAUUUGAAUUCUCAACUGCUGCAAAUGGGUCUAGCUGUGGCUUGUUCAACAUACAGUCACCACCUGCCAAGGAGGGGGCCCAGACAGCAGCAACAGCAAAGAGUACAUGAAAUGGCACGGCACUGGUAGCAUUUCCCUAUUUUUAAAUUGUGAAAUGAAUGCUGUUGGGAUAGAGCACACAGCUUCUGUGAAAUCGUAACAACUUUCAAACAUAAGGCAUCCUUUCUUCCAGACAUCACAGCUGAGCACAAACAAUUUCUGAAGCUACUUUGCUUCCACAGGAUAGGCCCUGCCUGCCACUAUGAAACACAGACAUCAGUCUAAAAUCUCUUAUACCUUUUAUAUAAAGCUGGUACUUACCAUGUUGUUACAGUAAGUGCCACACUUUUAACCAAUGCUUUUCUUCUAGAAAAAAAUGGUGCCAGUACUGCGUACUCUUGAGUACCCCUAUAAAAAAGCACCGUCUAUUCCUACAAAGGUCUUCCAUCUGAAUUUACCUAAAAAUUUUACCUAAACGAUGUCUCGUGCUUCUCUGUCAGCUAUCACACAUAGGAAGGUGGCAAAAACACGGUCAGACCAUUGACCCGCCUUGCCCACCUGCAUGGACUGGCAGCAAUUCUCCAGGGCUUCAGGCAAGAUUCCAGCCCUACCUGGGGGAGAUGCUACCUGCAGACCAUGCUCUACCACUAACCAAACCAGAGAUCCUUCCUGCCACCCUCUGGAGGCCUUUCGUAAGCCUCAUAUUCACAGGGGCGAACAAGGCAAAGGAGGGAAACAGCAACAGCAGGAGCAUGGCUGGUGCUCUGGUGACCCCAUGGCUGGUGCGCUGGGAAGCUGUCCCACAGAGCAGCUCAGUCAUCAGCAGUCGCCAGGCAGGGGCAUUUUUUUGCCGUGCAUGAGGCAGGCGGCCUCAAUUCUUCCAGGCUGCCCAAAGGGCCGGUCAUCCAUUCACCCGUUUGUUUGGCUGCGUGGGGGUGAGAGGGGCGGCGAAUGGGGCGAGGCAGGCAGAAAGCGGGCGAGCCCCAACGAAUCCGCCCAGCCUACUCCGCAGGGCUGUUGUGGGGAUUACCACUACGGGGAGGAGGGCAGCGGGUCCACGUGCAGCGCCCUGAACUCCCUCAAGGGGCUGAAACACCAUCGCCGUCGGGACCGCCCCGCCUCCAAGCAUUAUCGGGAUCCUCCCGCCUCACACUCUCAGGAGAGGGAGGGACGGGCGGCGGCGGCACCACGACUUAGCUGACUCUCGUCCGCUCCGUCUUCUUGCCUUCCUUACUUUGAGCCAGCGGCGAGGAAAGAGCCGCGCGGACCGAUGGCAUCAUCGCAGGGCGCCAAUCCGCCGCAGCCUCCAAGGUGGAAGUGCGAGCCGGGAAGCGGUUACCUAGCAACGGAGAGGAAAAGUCCGAGGCCUGCUGGGCCUUUGGAGUACAUCCAUGACAUGCGUUAAACUGGUUUUCGUAUUGCUUUAAAGUUUAAACCAAUCGUGGUUCUGCUCCCCCCUCCCCCGAAAAAGAAAAGAAUACUGUACUAGGAACUUUAAUUUGUUUAAGAUGCUGAGGAUGGUUAGGAGGCUCUACAGCUACAAUUCCCGGAGUUCCUUGCGAAAAGGGAUUGAUUGCUAAACCACUCUGCAAUUUGCAACCCUGGGAAGGGGGAAUGGGGGCGAUAUCCUAACUCCCGAACUACAGUUCCCAGAAAUCUUGGUUUGGGGGGAGCCAUGGCUCUUUAAAGUGGUCUCAUAACGUUUUCAGUGCAUAGUGUGGAUGUAGCUUUGAUUUGCUUUUCCCUGCCUAGUAAGGGAAAGUUAGAAGAGUGGAGGGCAGGAUGGGAUCUCUGGCCCUCCAGUGGUUGUGGGAGGCUGACCAAUCCCCUCGCCCCUUCCCCCUAGCCACACUAGCCAGUGCUGAUGGGGGCUCCAAAGAGCAGCCACAUUUGGAGGCUAGCAGGUGCUCCUCACCCUUGUCAUAAAGCUCCCCUCCCUUUUUUUCAGGGGGCCCCAACUGAGUCCAUCAACAAUUCCCACACUGGGCAAAUUCAUUGCCCUGUUGAAUGUUUAACUGUAGUAAAACAAGGCAUUUUCUUUAGGAUUGGGAAGUCAACCAUUAUUUUGUUAUGCUGUUAACUGUACAACUGGGUUUUUAUUUCAAUUUCCCCCAUAAAUUUUACCCCACACCUUCAGCCUGCAAGGACAGCUAACACAAAGGGGAAAAAACAAUAUGGGAUAAAAUCAGUUGCUGAUAAUAUGUGGCUUCCCACAAUACCCAGAUUAUUUUGCUUCUCCUACAAAUUUUCUGGGAACCACCUUAAGCCCACAAAUUUCCCUUGAUCACUUCUUGCCGUUUUUGUUUUCAAAAAGAGAUUUGGGAGAUGUGGUUCAUUAGUACCACCUCUCAAGAGCUGCUUCCCAAAUGACUUCUUUUUUAUGACUUCCUGCAUUCUACCAAAUAUGUCAGCAAACUUUAAAUACCUCUCCUUCUCUCCCCUAGAAACCAGUUUAUGGACUCUUCCAUGAAGAAGAGGACAAGAAGUGAAGGAGAAGCCCUGCCUCUAUUCCAGAACAGUUUUUACAAUUAACAGAAUAUAUGUACAGCCCGAGCUUACAGCACACAACUGAUUCUGAUUAAACAUUAAGGAAGAACUUUCUGAUGGUAAGAGCUCUUUGACAAUGGAAAGGAUUUCCUAGGAAGGGGGUGGACUCCCCUUCAUUGGUGGUUUCUAAACAGAGGUUGAAUGGCCAUUUGUCAGGGAUGCUUUAGCUGUGAUUCCUGCAUUGCAGGUGGUUGCAUUAGGUCAGGCAUCCCCAAACUCAGCCAUCCAGAUGUUUUGGGGCUACAACUCCCAUCAUCCCUAGCUAACAGGACCAAUGGUCAGGGAUGAUGGGAACUGUAGUCCCAAAACAUCUGGAGGGCUGAGUUUUGGGGUGCCUGCAUUAGGUGAUCCUUGAGGUCCCUUCCAACUCCACAGCUAUGAUUCUAUGAAAAUGAUGUGGGGAAGCAUUAAGUCAUCACACUUGAGUGCCAGCAUUCUGUACACUGCUGUUGCAAUUGCCACAGAUGAGAUGGCAGGGUGGGAAGAAGUGAUCCCCAGUGCUAAGAAACCAAGAGGUUGAGUUUCCCUGUGACCCAGGGCUAGGGAAUAUCUAUGUUGUACUAUUUUAUUGUUGUUAGCCACCCUGAGCCCAGCUUCGGCUAGGGAGGGUGGGAUAUAAAUAAAGUUAUUAUUAUUAUUAUUAUUAUUAUUAUUAUUAUUAUUAUUAUUACAGCAGCUCUACAAAUGUUGAUGGACUCUUAGCUCUUCUCAGACCCUGCAGCCAGUAUGGCCGGUGGCCAGGGAUAAAAGUAUUAUGCCAGAUUUUCAUGAAUAUGAUUUAAGGGACCCACACAUUUUAGAUUUAACACUUCUCCCAGGCAAAUCCAGCAGUAAAGGAAAUAAGAUAAAGCUCCAUGGCUACGAGGAAGAGCUGCACUAGGCAGUGUUUCUAAGGUAGGGGCGCUUAUUUGUUUAAGAGAGUUCUCUCCACUUCAACAGCAGGGAAAGGUACAUGGAAAAAUGUAGGUGAGUUAAUUAAAUAAUAAUAAUAAUAAUAAUAACCAACAUUUCCCAGUCUACAGAUUUGGCAUUAAACAGGAUGAGUAACCAGUUCCAUGAUUCCACCAAACCAGCAGUUGUAGCUGCAGUUGUUCAGCACCAAUUAGGGGACAGUUCCACAGUCCCAAAAGAAAAAAAAUGCAACCAAAUAUUCACACAGUUGGGGUUUUUUUUAAAAUGCAAAAGUUGCCAAUUGGGGUGGGGAUGCCAAAACAGCAGCCCCUUCCUCAUGCUUGUUCUCAGGCAGUUUUUCCAGCUUUGCAUUUGCUCUGGUGCUGCCUCCUUCUGGAAAGGCUCCUUCACUCUAGGAACUGUGUCAUGAAGCAGCAAAUAAUUCAUUCCUAUUUCUUAUUCCUGCAACCGACCACCAUCCAUCCCCUACUGACAAUACUGCAAGCCAAAGACCUCAUUUGGGAAAUGGCAUUGAUAAGUAAUCAGUGUGAAGUAUGGGAGCAUCUGGGCUUUGGCUUUCCUAAAACACUGAUGCCUGCAAGAAAAGGGAAAGUCUGAUUAUAACAACUCAUUUAGAAUAAAUCAGUUUGGAAAUGGCUUCUAUAACACAGUAGGAAGUUUUAUGAUUCUACAUUACAAUGGUUUAGGGGGCCCCUCCUAUCCAUAGGAAAGAAAUUAAAUGGCUGUGGUUUGGGAGCAAUUGCUUUAUAUAUAUUUUAGGUAACUAGAGGAAAAUGCAACUUUGCAGCAUUUUAAUGGUCAAUUUGCCUAGGUAAACAGGCAGUAAACUGACAGUUACUGCAGCUAUCAUGCUUGAUGUUGAACACUGGCCUCGGAAAUGGGCUGCAAGAGAAAAGCUCAAACCAGCCAUGGAUCCUUUAGGUGGCACUUUUACGUGGCUAUAGUCUCAUGCACUAACACCUGUGAUGAAAACAUCCUUUCUUACUAUGUUUUGAUACAACAGGGUACCUAAGCUCAAAUUUAGGUCCUUAGUUGCUGUAAGAGCUAACUGCCCCCCCCCCCCAAUACAGCUCAUCUUUGCCCUGCUCAGUGAUAAUCCUAGCUGGCAUACAUCAAAUUGAUAAGACUGCGUAUCAGUGAUAUCAUCAGGAUUGGAUGCCGGGGGCAGAACUCUAGGAUUCAGAAUAGAGCCACCCACCCACACCAUUCCACCAUUCCCACAUGCAGCAGGAAUAGCAUACUAUGUUUUGAAAUAAGUAAAGCAACACACAUUGGGCUCCAGAGACCAAAGUUCUCAAAUGGCCUGCACUAAUAUCCAGGGGCUCUCUAAGCUUCAGAAAGGGGCCUGAUCCAGGCCUUAUUUGGAGAAUCCAGGAACCAAAUGCAGGGCCUUUUGCAAACAAAACAGAUACUCCACCUCUGAGCUUUUCCGAGCGUUGAGAACUGGCUGGCUCCAUGACUUAUUACUUGACCAUUUUUAAGUGGCAAUGACAGAGACUAACCUCAGGGCCUUUGAAAGGAAAAGCAGCUGCUCGAGUUAGGUCUGUCAGGGCCCCUUACUUGGCCCACAAGACCAUGUUCCCCUGCCAGUAGUGCUCACCUGUCCUACUCCUAACAUGUGUGAGGCAAGGGAAGAUGUGGCUUCUUGUCAAAAGUGGGGCUUGCUGGCAUAAGCACUCAACUUUUCUUCAAGAAGCUUGAUUUCAAGCCAAUUCCCCAGGUUGGAGAUGGGACUGGCACACGGCACAGCCACCAUCUGUCUGUGCCAUGUGCCCCUUACCUGGCCUGCCCACCUCCCACACCAUACCUCCCCCUACCCUGAACCACUGUGAUUGGGACCUCUCCUGCUCUCUCCAGCUCCUCUUUUCUGAGGCACAUCCCAUAAAAAGCUCAGAUUUAGAAGCAAACAAGGUAAAAGAAUAACAAUUUAAAACAUUUUUUACAAAUGGGGAAAUAACAGAACUGAAACCAGCUAAACAAUACCCCAACCUAAAGGCCUGUUCAGCUGCCUCAGCUUUCAAAGCUGCAGUCAGUCAGGGCCCAGCCCUCCUAGGCAAGGUGGAAAAGAUCUGAAAGGCAGGGAGCAGGUCCCCCAAGACUCACAACCAGGAUGGUGUCUGAAAAGCUCAGCAGUCUCAGCUACACCCGCACAACUCCUCUGUAGAAUGAGUCCCCCUUUAUCCAAGCAAAACACUAUUUCUUCCUCCACUUGCCUUGCACUUUCACCCGUCUUAAAAGCAAACAGAGCUCCAAAACAGGAAUGUCAUGGCCACCCCCAGAAGUGAUGAGGAAUAACCCUUUUUUGAAGAUUCAAUUGUGCCUCAAUACUUACAUAUGAACACAACCUAUUUAUCUGUCAAUAAACGGCACAUAACACAAUUCGGAGGGCUUUUACUCACAGGCGCUGUAUUGCAGUAAAAUGUAGGGGACAGGACCCGAUUUAUAGGAAACCAGAAUCAUUCUACGCCCCACCCUACCUCAGCCCCUUCUUACCCCCAUUGUACUCCAGAAAUGAUGGAUGAGGGAGCAGGGCAGCAGAAACAAGAGACACAUGGUUUUAUUUACUUUAUUAUUUUGUAAAUGUGAAUUUUACAAAGCAUUUUCAUCAUUAAUGAUCACAUUUUUCCAUGGAUUUUUCAUUAUAUGAAAAGCGCUACAACCAUACUUUGAACUCUUGGAAGGGGGCUUGUGAAGAAGAGACAUCUUGAAGCCACUCCCCCAUGUUACCCCCGCCCCCCCCCACCCCCCAGCCACAGGUCUGAAUCUAUAGUGUUAGCCAUGGCUGUAACAGUCUCAAGCUGAGGGAUGGCACAUAAAUAACAAAGAGAAUAAACAAAACUUUGCGUGGCUGAAACAACUCCAAAGCACUUCAAAAUCUCCCCUAUUAGCGCUGGGAUUUUUAACUUUCAUUUAUUUUUAACAGUCAUGAGUUACAGUACUACUGGGUACUCUUGAUAAAGACUCCAAGAGAAACCCUUUUGCUCUCUUAAGACUUUUCUCUCAGGCAGUUCAAAAGGAUCUGCACACAAUCUGAAUCAAGUGCAAUCCAAAGGUUCAAGUUAAACAUAUUUAUACAUUUUCUUGCUUAGCUAUGACUUUAUCAUUUUUGAGUCUUAAAAAUAGUAUUGCAAGGUUGGGCUCCCUCCCCUCCACCUCAGACGUAAAAGUGCAAAAAGGACGUUUGGAAGAAACAGAAGAUUGUAAGUUCUUCAGCAAGGACAACACAUGGGAUCCCUCUUUCCCUCCUCUCAUGCCAGCUUUGGCAGAGGCACAGAUUGCCUUGCUCCAAGGUGGGCACCCAGUGAAUUGACCACAACCCUCCAUGGGCAGCCACAGCAGCACUGUAAAAGUGACACUGAAAGGCCUGGCCCUUUAAGACUGGUUAGGGAUCCCUUAAUGGCCACAGGAGAUAUGGUCAAAAUGCACAGCAUAUAUCACAGGCUGCAUCAUUUGGACAGCUGUGGAAACUCUGCUGCUCAGGGAAGACAACAUCACAGAGAGGGCCUCUUCUCAGGCAAAGAUGAUUACAUGUAAAGCAGCCCGUCUCCCCCGGGCACCUUUCCCCCGGAGAGCACCAUGCCCAAAUGGCUGUGCCCUUUUAAGGACUCCCCCCUUCUCCUGCCCUGUCAGGUGGGGAUGGCACCAAUUUGCUUUUCCUCUUUGCAUUUAAUGCUGCAAGGAAGAAGAUGCAGGAAAGAGAAGUCACCAAGAGGGUCACAAUUCCUCAGUGAUGGGAAGUACCAGGAAAGGUUGCCACACCAGGUGAGAAAACAGUCACAACCUUUUAUCCACCCUGGCAAAUCAGCAUCCUACAAAAAAAGCUAAACUUUCUAGCCAGGAUGCUUUCCAGCACUUAAUUAAAAUGAGAAAGAAGAAUUUCUUCAAUUAAGCAAAACCCAUUUCCAAACUGGAUUCCCAGGACAGGUAAGAAAAAGUGGGGAACAGCCAAACAUCUCUGGCAACUUGAGGGUUGAAUUAGUGGCCAUUUCAGUUGGAGCAAGAAGAGAAUAACUGUCAGGGAAGUCUCAGAGCAGACAAAAGGACAGGACUUAUGGCUUAACAUGGUCUCACCUUUGCAAUGAGAUCAGAUUUCUUGGGGGGGGAAAUCCGAGUCUUGUUUUUGGCUCCAAAUUUUGGUUUAGAGUGAAAAAAAACCCUGGAAUUGCACACUUCUGAGCAAGGGUUAGGUAAAGAAACCUCGGAGAAGCCAGGCUAAUUUACAAAGCAACUGCAAUCUGGGGAUGUUUCCAUUGCAGAAAAGGAGGGGGUGGGAAUGUUGGUUCAAUUCUUAUACUAUGAUGUGGCAACCACUAAAUUCACUCGGUUUUCUCUCUCUUUAAAAAGGUGCUUGAUAUAACUUUUAAUAUAUAUAUAUAUAAUAUACACAUGUAAUAUUGCUAACAGUCAAGCAUUAAGAAUAGAGGUGCAGACAUACCAUAAAUACUUCUGCUUCCAUUUUUAUUUUAUUUUUAAGAUCUAGAGGGAUGCCGUUUCCAUUUCACAUUAUGCAUCAUCACAGUCAGAAAGCAACUCCCAAACACUCUCAUGACAUUUCUAGCAUUAUUGUAAACAAAGAGGGGGAAAUCGGGGCGGGGGGCAUUCCUCCUGAUCUGGCAUUUCCCCCCCUCUCUGUCCCCUCCGCAUGGAAAACAAGUGAUCCAAAAAGGGCUAAGGCACUCAGGAAAUCCCGAUCAUUCUGGGCUUCAUUCUCACUUUACAUUCUUUUAUUUUGCGACAUUCUUCCUUCCCACCAGGGAGGAGACAAUCACGAUCCACAGAUACGUCUUGGAAAUCUGCCCUUAAGCCUCCACAUGCGGAUCUGGUUUAGUGCAAAUGCUCAUCCUCAUCAAGAAGACAAGGAAGGCCCCCCUCCCCAAAAACAAACCAUUCACAUUUUUUUUCAAGUUUACCUAAAGCUCUCUCGCUCUCUCGCUCUUUUACUAGAAAGUAAAAACAAACAAAGAAACUCCAAAUAAAAAUGUACAUGAAAUUGUGCUCGGUAUAAAAAUAUAUCUUAACUGUGCAAUGCGACACUCUCUUCGGAUUCUUUUCUAAGCCAUUCAAGUAUUUUCUUUAUGUUCUGGUCAUUUCAUCAUGGGGCCAGGGGCAGGUGGAACAGCUCCUGGAUGCACUUUGUACCACCAUUAUUUUGGGUAGGGUAUCCAAUUGGAAGAGGAAAUGACCCAAGGUAAGAAAGGCAGUAAUCCUUUCAGUUUGAUACCAUCAUAUUUCAUGGACCCAAUCCCCCUUUACCACUGACUCAGGGAAAGAUACAGAAGGGGGGGGGUCACUGCCCACAGAGCUGCCCCUACUCACUGGACCA
rnacentral:lncRNA from 1 species